rnacentral:rRNA from 1 species
UACGUAGGUGGCAAGCGUUGUCCGGAUUUACUGGGCGUAAAGGGAGUGUAGGCGGAUACUUAAGUCAGAUGUGAAAUACCCGGGCUCAACUUGGGUGCUGCAUUUGAAACUGGGUGUCUAGAGUGCAGGAGAGGAAAGUGGAAUUCCUAGUGUAGCGGUGAAAUGCGUAGAGAUUAGGAAGAACACCAGUGGCGAAGGCGACUUUCUGGACUGUAACUGACGCUGAGGCUCGAAAGCGUGGGGAGCAAACAGGAUUAGAUACCCUGGUAGUCCACGCCGUAAACGAUGGGUACUAGGUGUGGGAGGUAUAGACUCCUUCCGUGCCGCCGUAAACACAAUAAGUACCCCGCCUGGGGAGUACGGUCGCAAGAUUAAA